AAAAUAUCUAAAUGGGAGUGUCACUGACUUCAUUAUCAUUCAUCAACACCAUAACAGGGAUUAUUUUAUCACAUUAGUUUGCUUCAGAGAGUUGAGCUGCAAGAAAAUGGGACUGAAUUCACUUAUGUUUUGAAAAUGAAAGUGCUGGAUAACAAGGUCAACACAGCCACCACAACCCGAGCUGCCAUUUUCAUUUCCUGCCAUGGAUAUCUGACAGUCCUUCAUACUGAAGAAAAGGUGAAGUAAGGAAGAUGGUUGAAUAAGUACCAAACCCUCCUCUGAAAGGGACACCAACUCAACAAUAUGCAAAACAUUCUCCUUUGUGAGAAACCCAGAGACCAGCCAAGAGACUCCUAUAGCCCAAAAUCAAGAAUCAAGUCUGUGCUGGGAAGAAAGAAGCUACGACUACGACAUCAAAUUGAAGUUUUGUUUAUAUAAACUAGACAUUUUAAUGUCUGAAUGUGUCAGAAUUACCAUAAUAAAAUUUUUCUUUUAAUUGAAAUUGAUUGGAAAGCCAAUAGAUAGACUUAAGGUUCAGCAAAAAGAAUUUACUAGAGUAUAAUUGAAGGCAAGGUCUGGAGAAAAGUAAAGUAUUUUCCUAUUUAUAUCACAUAGAGUUCAACCUUCAUUCCCUGUUCAAUAUACCAGCUGCAAGAGUAUUAAUCAUUUGGCAUAUUUGCCUUAAUAUUCUCUUUUUGUUGUUUUAACCUCUUUUUAUUUCCAUUACAGCGAAAUGUGUGUUUCCAUGCAUAUGUGAGAGAAGAC
rnacentral:lncRNA from 10 species